CAAGUAAAGCCAAGUCAUCCUUGUGAAAUAUACACUCGAAGUAACCAUAGCUAACCCAUCAGCAUGAACUGUUUGUCUUUCAACUUGAUAUUCCUUGUACUGGCUUAUUCAGGAUUUGAGAACAUUCGAUCAGCUUGGAUUAACACGUGUUUGGUGAUUAAUGAAUUCACUAAUCGAUCGUGUUCUGAUUUCAACAAUUAUGGCUGCAACUGCAUAAAUAGACUCACCGGUGUCCCU